GGUUGAAUAUUGUGAGAUGCUGAACUUUUAAUUUUAUGAAAUAUACCCUUCCAUUCUUCAAAAUCAGCCUUCUCUUCUUCUAAUGAAGAAUGAAUCACUAAUGGAUAGAUGGCCAAAUGACAACACCGCCUCUUAAACUGAUGGUAAUGGCAACCACUUUUCUGUAAAGUUUCUGAAAUAUUUUGUGUGGCAAGUAAGAAGAGCAUCAAGAAAAAUUUUUGGCUUGAAGGUGGGACUUUGAUCCUCUGUGGAGGAAGCUCAAGUUCAGAUGCCACCCACAAGCAGAAUCUGUAUUUCAUUUGCAGUUAUGUGUUCAUAUUACCUCUUGGCAUGUCUCGGUCAGUUCCCAGCUAUGGAUCCAGAAUGGUAACGCAUGGGACCAAGCCCAUUAGCCUUCCUGCUCUGAAUUCUCCUUCUGAACACACAGUUUAUAAUCUCUUGCUUAAUGCCUUAAGGAAAAGAGAGAUGUAGUCUCAAAACAAAAAUCAAUGAAAACUUUGACUCACUUUUUAGCUAGCUUUUCAAUGUCUUAUUAUAUACCAUUCUCUACCAGUUCUGCUAGAAGGAGAAGCAUUGAUGGAUGUGUUUUAUCUUUUUCCUUUCCACUGCUACCCUGUAGCAAAGAUUCUAAAGAGAAAAUAAGUGCCCCCAAAGUCAGAGGCUUGAGGGAAAUGGAGAAAUCAAGGACUUGAGUUAUUUCCACAGAUUAAAUAAUCAAUCUGAGAAGUAUUGAAAGUUGACUAUAUGGGAGAAACACUGUAGAUAAAUGUUACCAUGUGCAAGUUGAUAAAUUGUAAAUACUGACUGGAGCAGACACACUGUUUACUACUUGAUGGUAUACAUAGCAGCUUGGGACUGGGGAGCUGCUAGGUCCUCUUUUGUUUUUAUUUUGCUUUUUUAAUUUUUUUAUAUUUUUUUAUUAUGUAUUUUCCUCAAUUACAUUUCCAAUGCUAUCCCGAAAGUCCCCCAUACCCUCCCCCCAUUUUGCUUUUUUAAUAGAACAGAGAUUUUAGAUUUUGUGAACUUAGGCACAACUCUUGACAUUUUAAAAUUCUAAAUUUGCAUGUCUUUGUAAAAGACUAAAUGAGUGCUUCCUUGUAGGAGCAUAGAACACUCGCUGUGUGUUCAAGUAGAAGUAGCAAUUUCUCUAGGCACACACUUUGCCUGUCUCUUCUCAUCUCCUCUAUAGCUGGAUUCAUGGUCAAAUGAUCCCUACUAGCUGUUACUGUAGAAUUUCCAGACACUAUAUAAAACGUUUCAAAGUGGCAUAGUUUGCAUGAUUCUCUUUUCUUUUUUUGCAUGUGUCUUGAAUAAUAAUUUGAAUUAACUAGUUUGAAUCUCUGUUCAUUUUUUGCCACAUACAAAGAUAUAUUAUCAAUACUUGAAAAGUACAAACAAUAAAAAUUGUAAUAGCAAUUAAGUUAAAAUGAAGGAAUCUUAUAUAUCAAGAUUUGAUUCUUUAGAGUAAAUAGACAUUAAAGUGCUUAAGUAGGAAAAAACAGUUAAUUUUUUCCAAAGAUAAGGGACAAAGGGGCUGGAGAGAUGGCUCAAAUUGUGUCUCAUGCUAACCCAUUCCAGGGAAUCUGCCACUUUCUUGUGCACAUAAAAAAAAAAAUCUAGGGAAAAUAUUCAUAUAGGGAUAAAAUAAAAUUAAUAUAUAAAUAAAAAAUUAAACUGAAGCAAGCAAAAACAAAUAGGCAAAAUUUAAAUAGAUUUUUUAAUUCAAUAUAUAAUAAAUUUAUUGUGCUGGAUUCUUGUUUUAGAUCCUCAAAAUAUUCUAUGUAAUUCUAAUUCCAUGUAGAACAGGGAGAGCAAAACUGCCCAUUCAGCAACCUUCUUCAGUAGUAAGGAAGGGUCAUAC
rnacentral:lncRNA from 1 species